rnacentral:rRNA from 1 species
AUGAGAAAUGAGGAUGCCGUUGUGACCUUCAAAUGGAUAUGGAAAACUUUCUGCCUACCGAAGCAUAAAUUCUUUUGCUGGCUUCUACUUCAUGACAGAAUAAACACAUGUGGUCUCCUGACCAGGAAGAAUACGCAACUUGAUUCCACUCAAUGUGUAUUAUGUAAUGCUGGAGAUUUGGAAGAUAGAAUGCAUAUGUUAUUUUCCUGCCCAUUUAGCCAGGGAUUUUGGUGGAAGAUUGGUUUUGAAUGGAACACAGAUCUGAAUUUUCAUGAUAUGAUAAUUGAAGCACAACAAAGAUAUCAACUACACCACUUCAUGGAAAUUAUGAUAGUGGGUUGCUGGAGUAUAUGGAAUUAAAGAAAUGGUCUGAUAUUUGAUGGAACCCCAUGCUCAAUCAAUGAAUGCAGAUAUGAAUUUAUCAGAUCUUUCAAAUUAACAAUGUUGAGAGCUAAACCCAUUCUCAAGGAGGGCAUGUCAUCUUGGAUUGACAACAUAUAA